AAGUCGUAACAAGGUCUCCGUAGGUGAACCUGCGGAGGGAUCAUUACUGAGUGCGGGGGUUAGUUGUUCCCCCCAGACCUCCCAACCCUUUGUGAACACAACUUGUUGCUUCGGGGGGCGACCCUGCCGUUUGCCCCGGCGAGCGCCCCCCGGAAGGCCCUUCAAACACUGCAUCAUUGCGUCGGAGUUUAAGCAAAUUAAACAAAA
rnacentral:misc_RNA from 1 species